rnacentral:lncRNA from 1 species
UUUCAGAGUUGUGACUGAAAUAUUAAUAAUUCUGCUUUGCCCAUGUUUUAAUGUGUUUAAAUAUAGAACAUUUCAGUGUAUAAAGCAGUAACAUAAGUACUAGUCUCUCAGCACCUUUUAGCAUGCACUGCCGAAUAUACCAAUGUACGCAUUUUGAAACUACACAGAUGGGAAAAUGUAUGAUUCAGAACCUAAACCAGUGCAAUAAAAAGGCAGACAAAAAAUUUCCUUUGUGUCUAAAGGCAAAGUACCCUUAUGCUGCUAUUUUAAGAAGGAAAAUUAAUGACCAUUUCUUACAAAGGAAGUAGUUCUUCCCUGCAGUUUAGAAUUGAUUAGUAAAUGGCUAUGCAGAAAGCUCUGUAUGGAAUUAGACAAGUAUGAGUCUGUGCACUUCAAUCUAUUUUGUACAUGUUCUCCAAGACCUCAACAACUAAAGCUAAUGCUCCCUCAGCUCCAUUGAACUAAUUAAGCUAGGUUGUUAUAUUAAUAAUGGGCUGCCCUUCUGUCUGCAUUAAUAGCACUUAGCAAGUCAGUGUGUGUGUGGAUGCUUAUCUCAUGAAGGAGAAAGCUCCUGUCAGUGAAUUAGAUUAAUCCAUCAAAAGAAUUAAUGUGACUUGAUUAGUGGUGAUAUCUGAAAAAGGUGGUACACAUGAACAGAUAUCUGCAGCUGUAGGAAGUAAGCAACAACACUCCAAACCACUGAGCCACGUCAUCUUUUUCAGUUCUCUUGCUGAUGGAGUGCCAUAGCCAAGGUUCCUAAUGUUUUAGAAGUUCCCAAGAACUGAAAAAGUAGUCCUUUAGGCUGGUGAUAAUUGGCUGAGAACAGAAUUCAAAGAUUCUUCUGUAUCAUAAAUAUUAAAAUAUAAUGAAAAGAUGAUAGCUGGGAUAAGGGGUUUCAAAAUUGUUAAAAGUGGAAAUAUAUAAAGAAUGAGAGGUUUUCUUCUUGAGAGAAAUACGCAUGUGGGCUUCUUUAUAUUAUAGACAUUACCAUUAUGAUUUAGCAUGAAACCAAGUUAAAAUAAUCACAAGUUUUUCAAGUUAUUUUAAUGCUGCUUCCUAAAAGUUGAUGAGCAGUUCCAGAAUGUCAGUUACCAAGAAUGAAGCAUGAGAGAUCUACCAGAAGCACCAGAUAUUUUUGAUUAAUCAUUUACUUAGCUGCAGCAAAGGGGAGAAACACUUGGCUCAUGGUCUCACACCUAUGAAAAGACUACAGUCAUUUUUUUUUUUUUCUCAUAUGUAGGUAAGGAAGGCAUGAAGCGACUCAAGAGUCACAGAGAAGUGUUCCUUGAGCUCUCCAUGCCCUCCCUGCCCUCCCUGCCCACCCAACCACUGCCUGAGGAGCCAAAGAUUGGGCUUGGUGAACUGCUCAGGACCUCUAUAAGCAUUAAGAGUAGGGAAUAAAUUGUCCAGAUGGUUUGUUAAAUAAACAAAUUGUCUAUUCUAUGAAGCUGUUUGUUUAAAACCAGGAUAUAUUCAAAUCAUCUAAGACUUUAUAGAUAGAUACAAAUUUGUUAGGUAUUUGUCUGCAGCGUAACACUCAUUUACAGCUGAGGUUGCUGUAGAGCUCUUAGACUUCAAAGGCACGAUUCAUGGCACACUUUUACAUGUGUCUCAACACAUGCCAAUAUAGGUACCCCGACACAGCCAUAAGAUAGCUAUUUGUAUGCACGAUAGCAAAUACAUACUAAAACUAGUAAAUUUUUAAUAUUAGCUGAGAGCAUGUGAAUCACUGGGUGCAGCUUGCAAAGGUGGUAUUAAGCUCAGGUAUAACUAUUAGUUUGACUAAUGAUGCAUGCAGAACAUAAUGUGUGGAAUUACCCAGCA